GAGAGGUGGCAGAGUGGUUGAAUGCACCGGUCUUGAAAACCGACAAGUCUUAACGGGCUUCGAGGGUUCGAAUCCCUCCCUCUCC
rnacentral:tRNA from 1 species